rnacentral:rRNA from 1 species
CGCAUCUGUGCAUGCAGCAUAUCAAUAAGCGGAGGAAAAGAAACUAACAAGGAUUCCCCUAGUAACGGCGAGUGAAGCGGGAAGAGCUCAAAUUUGAAAUCUUAAAGGGUUUCCCUUUACGAAUUGUAGUUUAAAGAAGUGUUUUCUGUUGAGGUUUUGGUAAAAGUUCUUUGGAAUAGGACAUCAUAGAGGGUGAGAAUCCCGUAUUUGACCUUUACUUUCAACUUUGUGAUACACUUUCAAAGAGUCGGAUUGUUUGGGAAUGCAGUCCAAAAUGGGUGGUAAAUUUCAGUCUAAAGCUAAAUAUUGGCGAGAGACCGAUAGCGAACAAGUACCGUGAGGGAAAGAUGAAAAGAACUUUGAAAAGAGAGUUAAACAGUACGUGAAAUUGUCGAAAGGGAAGCGUUUGACACCAGUGUUGUUUUUCUGAAAAUCAAUUAAAGAACUGUUUAUGCUAAGUUGUUUAGACUUUAUCAGCUAACUGUUUAGUUUUGAGCUUUUCUUUAAUGCACUUUUCAGUUAACAAGUCAACAUCAAUUUCUUUUGCUGUAAAAAAGCUUGAGGAAGGUGGCUUGAGAUUCGUCUUAAGUGUUUAUAGCCUCUUGCCUAUGCAGUCGGAGAGAUUGAGGUCUGCAGCGUAGAUCCUUCGGGGCUAAAUGCAUUUGUGCUAAGUUAUAGCAUUUUAUAGACAACUUGUUGACUAUGAUUUGUCUUGUAGCUUACUCGCUUAUGUUAUUUUACCUACGCUUAGGAUGUUGAAUCUGUGCGAGACUAC